AGCGAACGCUGGCGGCAGGCUUAACACAUGCAAGUCGAGCGGGCGUAGCAAUACGUCAGCGGCAGACGGGUGAGUAACGCGUGGGAACAUACCUUUUGGUUCGGAACAACACAGGGAAACUUGUGCUAAUACCGGAUAAGCCCUUACGGGGAAAGAUUUAUCGCCGAAAGAUUGGCCCGCGUCUGAUUAGCUAGUUGGUGAGGUAACGGCUCACCAAGGCGACGAUCAGUAGCNGGUCUGAGAGGAUGAUCAGCCACAUUGGGACUGAGACACGGCCCAAACUCCUACGGGAGGCAGCAGUGGGGAAUAUUGGACAAUGGGCGCAAGCCUGAUCCAGCCAUGCCGCGUGAGUGAUGAAGGCCCUAGGGUUGUAAAGCUCUUUUGUGCGGGAAGAUAAUGACGGUACCGCAAGAAUAAGCCCCGGCUAACUUCGUGCCAGCAGCCGC
rnacentral:rRNA from 1 species